GCUGUUUUAGUUUAAUUGGAAUUUGCGAUUUGUAAUUGUGAGGUUUUAUUCAGUU
rnacentral:tRNA from 1 species